AUUGAACGCUGGCGGCAGGCCUAACACAUGCAAGUCGAACGGCAGCGGGGGAUAGCUUGCUAUCCUGCCGGCGAGUGGCGGACGGGUGAGUAAUGCAUGGGGAGCUGCCCAAUCGAGGGGGAUAACAACUGGAAACGGUUGCUAAUACCGCAUACGCCCUGCGGGGGAAAGGUAGGGACCUUCGGGCCUACCGCGAUUGGAUGCACCCAUGUGGGAUUGGCUAGUUGGUGAGGUAACGGCUCACCAAGGCGACGAUCUCUAGCUGGUCUGAGAGGAUGACCAGCCACACUGGAACUGAGACACGGUCCAGACUCCUACGGGAGGCAGCAGUGGGGAAUAUUGCACAAUGGGGGAAACCCUGAUGCAGCCAUGCCGCGUGUGUGAAGAAGGCCUUCGGGUUGUAAAGCACUUUCAGUGGGGAGGAAGGGCUGAUGACUAAUAUUCAUCAGCAUUGACGUUACCCACAGAAGAAGCACCGGCUAACUCCGUGCCAGCCGCCGCGGUAACAC
rnacentral:rRNA from 1 species